UUUUCCUGUGGGCGAACUCUGCGAGUUCAGACUGAAAGCCCUCCAUGGCCCGAAGGCUCCUCAAAAAGCAAAGUGUUAACCCCGGGCGCGGGGGGCUGCUCUUCCCGCCCUUUCUGUGCUGCUUUCUCUCCCGCCUAGAAAGUUCCAGAAUAUCUCUGCGCUUUUUUUUUUUGCUUGCGAUCUCUCUGGCUCACUGGUGUCUGUUCCUGUGUAUCAGGAGGGCCAGACACAAUGCAGGAAGAGCCCAAAUGUCCCCAGGGCGGAGGGACGCUGAAGAACAUCUCGCAGAAAGGCUGCCUAGACGCAGACGUGCUGGACACUGCUUGCGUAGACCCGGCAAUCAGAAGACAGAAUAG
rnacentral:lncRNA from 1 species